rnacentral:rRNA from 1 species
UACGUAGGGGGCUAGCGUUGUCCGGAUUUAUUGGGCGUAAAGAGCGUGUAGGCGGCCAUGUAGGUCUGCUGUGAAAACUCGAGGCUCAACCUCGAGACGUCGGCGGAAACCAUCUGGCUAGAGUCCGGAAGAGGAGAGUGGAAUUCCUGGUGUAGCGGUGAAAUGCGCAGAUAUCAGGAAGAACACCCGUGGCUAAGGCGGCUCUCUAGUACGGUACUGACGCUGAGACGCGAAAGCGUGGGGAGCGAACAGG